UAAACUAGGAUUAGAUACCCUAUUAUUGAAAAUAUAAAUUUGAUUGCUUGAGUAGUAGUAGGUAUGUUCUUGAAAUUUAAAGAAUCUGGCGGUAUUUUAGUCUAUUCAGAGGAACCUGUCCUGUGAUUGAUAGUCCACGAUUAAUUGUACUUAUUUUUAGUUUGUAUAUCGUCGUAGGUGGAAUGUUUUAAAAGAAAAUGGAAUAUUCAAGAUUUAUUUAAGAUAAAGAAAAUCAGAUCAAGAUACAGCGGAUAAAUAAGAAGAGAUGGGUUACAAUAAAUUUAUUUUAAUGGUUAAAAUAUUUAACAGUAUUUAUAAAUUGGAUUUGAUAGUAAUAAAAUUAAAUUUAAUUUUAUGAUUUUAGCUCUAAAAUAUGCACAUAUCGCCCGUCGCUCCUUCUCUAAGGAAGGAUAAGUCGUAACAUAGUAGGUGUACUGGAAAGUGUACCUAGAAAGUCAAAUUAGAGCUUGAAAUGAAGUAUUUUAUUUACAUUAAAAAGUUAGUUGUGGGAGUCAACUUAAUUUGAAAUUAGAGACUUAUUUUAUUUAUUAUAAAAAAAAUAUUUUUAAUAUAAGUAUGUUUAAGAAAUUAGGCUAAUUAAUUAUAGUGGAUGGUAUAGAAAUAGAGUGGAGAAUUAUUUUGAAAAUUAAUUAGUUAAAAGAAGAGUUAAAUUUUUGUACCUUGUGUAUCAGGGUUUAUUAAAUUAUAUUAUUAAUAUAAGUUUCUCGAAUUUUAAAGAGCUAUUUCUAUAUAAAUUUAAUUGUUGCAUAAAUUUUUAUAAUAUAGGGAUAGUAAUGAAACGUUAUUCGUUUUUGAAGAUAUCUAGUUUUCUUAAGAAAUAAAUUUAAUUUAAUUUUUUAAAGUUAUAUUAUUGAUUAAUUAGUUAUAUAAUUUAAAAAUUUAAUAUUUUAAGGGAUAAGCUUUAAAAUAAAUUAUUAAAAAUUUUUAUUUUUAUUGAAAAUUUGUAGGAUUGGAAAUGUUUAUCAAUAGUUUGUUAUAAUUAAUUUUUGAUUGAAUAAGAUUUAUAUUUAAUUUUAAUUUUUUUAUUAAGAUUAUACGUUUAAUAUAAAAUUGUUUGGAAUAAUGAUAGAAUUAGUAUAAUUUAUUGUAUAUUAUAAUAUAAUGAUAUAGGUUAAAUUAAGGAACUCGGCAAAUAUAUUUUUCGCCUGUUUAUUAAAAACAUGUCUUUUUGAUUAUAAUUUAAAGUCUAACCUGCCCAAUGAGGAGUUAAAUGGCCGCGGUAAUUUGACCGUGCAAAGGUAGCAUAAUCAUUAGUUUUUUAAUUGAAAGCUGGAAUGAAUGGUUGGACGAGAAAAUAGCUGUCUCAAUUUAAUUUAAUUAGAAUUUUAUUUAUAAGUAAAAAAGCUUAUAUAAGUUUAAAAGACGAGAAGACCCUAUAGAAUUUUAUAUUUUUUUGUGUAUGAAUUUUUUAGACAUUAGGGUUUUUUAUAUGAAAAAAUAUUUUGUUGGGGCGACAGAAAAAUUGAUUUAACUUUUUUUAGAUUAUUCCAUUGAUUUAUGAAUAAAUGAUCCAUUAUUAAUGAUUAUAAGAUUAAAUUACCUUAGGGAUAACAGCGUAAUUUUUUUUUAGAGUUCUUAUCGAAAAAAGAGUUUGCGACCUCGAUGUUGGAUUAAAAUUAACUUUUGGUGUAGGGGCUAAAAGGUUAGGUCUGUUCGACCUUUAAAAUUUUACAUGAUCUGAGUUCAAACCGGAG
rnacentral:rRNA from 1 species